rnacentral:rRNA from 1 species
AGGUGGCCCCCUGGACGAAGACUGACGUUCAGGUGCGAAAGCGUGGGGAGCAAACAGGAUUAUAUACCCUGGUAGUCCACGCCGUAAACGAUGUCGACUUGGAGGUUGUGCCCUUGAGGCGUGGCUUCCGGAGCUAACGCGUUAAGUCUACCGCCUGGGGAGUACGGCCGCAAGGUUAAAACUCAAAUGAAUUGACGGGGGCCCGCACAAGCGGUGGAGCAUGUGGUUUAAUUCGAUGCACCGCGAAAAACCUUACCUGGUCUUGACAUCCACGGAAGUUUUCAGAGAUGAGAAUGUGCCUUCGGGAACCGUGAGACAGGUGACUGCAUGGCUGUCGUCAGCUCGUGUUGUAUAAUGAUGGGUUAAGUCCCGAACGAGCGCAACCCUUAUCCUUUGUUGCCAGCGGUCCGGCCGGAACUCAAAGGAGACUGCCAGUGAUAACUGGAGGAAGUGAUGACUCAAGUCAUUAUG